rnacentral:rRNA from 1 species
GACGUAGGGCGCGAGCGUUGUCCGGAUUUAUUGGGCGUAAAGAGCUCGUAGGCGGCUUGUCGCGUCGACUGUGAAAUCCCGCGGCUCAACUGCGGGUCUGCAGUCGAUACGGGCAGGCUAGAGUUCGGUAGGGGAGACUGGAAUUCCUGGUGUAGCGGUGAAAUGCGCAGAUAUCAGGAGGAACACCGGUGGCGAAGGCGGAUCUCUGGGCCUUACCUGACGCUCAGGUGCGAAAGCUAGGGGAGCGAACAGG